rnacentral:rRNA from 1 species
AUACGGAGGGUGCGAGCGUUAAUCGGAAUUACUGGGCGUAAAGCGCGCGUAGGCGGCUUUGUAAGUCAGGGGUGAAAUCCCACGGCUCAACCGUGGCAUUGCCUUUGAUACUGCAGAGCUUGAGUUCGGGAGAGGGUGGUGGAAUUCCAGGUGUAGGAGUGAAAUCCGUAGAGAUCUGGAGGAACAUCAGUGGCGAAGGCGACCACCUGGCCCGAUACUGACGCUGAGGUGCGAAAGCGUGGGUAGC